GACGUAGGAGGCGAGCGUUGUCCGGAUUCAUUGGGCGUAAAGGGCGCGUAGGCGGUGUGUCAAGUCAGGCGUGAAAGCCCCGGGCUCAACCUGGGAACGGCGCUUGAGACUGGCACGCUCGAGUUCGGGAGAGGAUGGUGGAAUUCCCAGUGUAGAGGUGAAAUUCGUAGAUAUUGGGAAGAACACCGAUGGCGAAGGCAGCCAUCUGGACCGACACUGACGCUGAGGCGCGAAAGCGUAGGGAGCAAACAGG
rnacentral:rRNA from 1 species